UACAUAAAUGUAAAGGGGGAAUGAGGCAAAAUAAAAGGUCUUCACUGGUCUUUACAAAUUUUAAUGGUGCUCCUCAACAGCUGCUGGUCCUCAGCCCAGCUCAGGUUUUGUGAAUCAGCCCACAACACCCACGGAGAGUUUGCAGUGCAGGGCACAUCCCAGCUGAGCCUGUCACAGGAGGGAUGUGGGUUUCAAAGACACAAUAAAGACUUUUCAAACCACUGAGCAUGGUUUGUGUGGCACCUGAAAAUGUCACCAGGCAAACAGGCUUUGCCUGGUGGGAAUGAAAUGCCAGAAUUGCUGCCUGGGCCCUGCCAGGGGGCUUGCAAGGCACAGGUUUGUAACCCUUUCAGCCCAAGGAUUAAAGAAACAUGCUUUGAAAAAGAGGAAUGGAAAAGAAGGUUAGAGUAUUUUUUCUUUUUGUUUUUGUUUUUGUUGGAGCCUAUUUAAAUUACUGCCAGCAGUGUAAAAUGGAUCAGAGCUGCCAUCUCAAUUUUUAAUGAGAUAAUCUGCAAAUGGGAAGAUCUUAUGCACAUGGUCCAGAUUUGGCUUUUUUGAAGCAUUCAGAUUUGCAGAAAUGCUUGAGAGGUUGAUGAUAGCACCCAAAGGCCAAGCCAGUCUCUGUGCCCUGGGAGGCUCCUGGAUUCAGCGGGGUGAGGAAUUCUCCCUGGAAUGCCUGGAUGGAGACACAGCCGUGCUUGGAAUGUUUUACCUCAGCAGAACCCACACAAGCCUCACCUUUCCGUUCCCUAAACUCUGUCUGGAGCCUGUAGGACACAAAAAUUCACCCUAAUUCAGUGCAAAGUUACCAGUGAAACCCUAAAAUCCCUCUGGAUCUGCACUCCUGUCAUUCCUGCCAUCCUCUCUUUCCACCUGCUGAGGAUUUUGGGGACAGCCACAGACCCUCUUUCACUCCUGCACAAAAUGAGACUUGCAUUAAAGGGCAAAGAGUGAGAGACCCUCUUGUGGAAUUUAAACAGCAUCCAUCAUUUUCCUGGCCAGUGCAGGGACAUCAGCUUUUAUUGGCUGUGAGUAAUUAGGAGAUUUCAUCAACUGUCCAUCCAGAGGGUUCCCCCAGCCUCCUAAACCAGCAAACCAGAAAGACAUCCCUUUCCCCAUCUCUGGAUGAGAAUCAGGUGGAUCUCUCCUGUGAGGGUCUCUGUGUCCCCACCCUAUUUAGGGAUUCAUACAUGGCCCUAUCCCACAGAAUGGCUGAGGUUUGGGGGAUGAAGGCAGAGCUCAGACCUGGGCUGUGCACCCUUUCUUUAAAUCAGACAAAAUCAGGGCUCAAACUUGCCAAAUUUCCCUUCUUUGCUAUGAAAAGUUGUUAAUGUGACAUUUCAGACCUUAUUAGAGUCUAUAUUAAAACUUGGCAUUACUAAUUUUUUUACAAUUUAUAGCAUCAAAGUCUUCCCAGCUGUCCAAAAUUAUUUCAUCCUGGUAUUUUCUGUUACGACUUUACAGUUUGAUGCACUCAGACUAUACCAGCACUUUUUAUACCAGUACCAACUAUAAAGUUUAUAUGCAUCGCCUUUAUGGCAUAAGUAAGGACUAUGAAAUGUUGCUUUCUGCUACUGAUUUGUGCAUUAUUAUGUUGAGAGAAAGCAACAGCUGUAAGGACAAAAUAACACUUAUUUCAGCACCCAGGGGAACAUGAAAUCGCAUAUAUUGUUUUUAAAAUUAGCUAUCACAUGUAAAGUUGGUUGUAUAUAGCUAAAUAAUAAAAGUAAGUGCAUUUUUAGGUGCUCUUCAAAUGAGGUCACAGUGCUGAUGAAGUUCUCAGUAUUUCUCUGAUUUUAUGAGAUUCCAGGGGCAGUGAUGAGAUGUGUGGCACACAGGUACAAGUGGCCAAUUUAAAAAUGCCCUAAAUAUAACUUGAUGGGCUAAUCACAUUUACAGUCCACAAAAUGUGCAUGAAUGCAUAUUGAUGUGAGAAAAAACACACCCAGUGAGGAAAUAAUAAACUAUUGGAGUGAAUCUGUAUUAUUCACUGCUAAUUUUAAUUAAGACUCAGUCUUAAUUCUCAUGUACACAAAAGGAAAGAUGUAUUUUGGUACAGAGCUACCACAGCCUCAUUUUGCACUCUUUUCUUCAGUUAGAAGUGGGUAAAUGUUGUUUUAAAAGCAGAGCUGUUUAGGAGUGGCCUGUGGGUCUCCAUCCUGUGCCUGGAUGUCACAAACCCCACAGGAGGGCUCAGGGCACACAUCUCCUGCAAACUCUGCUCCCCAGGGGAAGGACAGCACAAGCCAUGAGGAAUAAGGGGGAACAGUUCUUUCUCAAACACUGAUCCAACUGGAACACUUCAGAACUCUGAUCCAGGAGGAGAAAUGAUCUCUGGGGCUGCUCUCCUCCAGGGCUCAGAGCUCAGAGCAAAGCUCCUGAGUUAUUAGCUGGGCAGUUUAGCAUUUAUCUUCUGAAGUCACUGCCAAAGGCAUACAGGCAGAAUAAAGAAUAACACCACAUUGAUAAAUAUGCAUCAUUUCCCCCUGCCUUCCACAAGAAUUGUAUAAAAUGGAAAGGCAUAAUUGGACUCUUAGUAAAUAUAAUAGGUCAGAAUUUAU